rnacentral:miRNA from 1 species
CUGUUACCUGAGGUGUCAUGGC